rnacentral:ncRNA from 1 species
UGCUCCGGUGACAGGGGCGCCUACCCGGAAAGAACCACGGGGAGAAAGAAACCCAGCCAAGCCCCACCCCUCCCUCCCGCCCACGGCGUCGCCUCACUCGCCUGGGUGAACAUCACCGGUUGGGCUGGCUUUCGGGGGCCCCAACUCCCUUACUCUCAGCGCAUUAACCGCUGACAUAUGUCAGCCCCCGAGGGGACUCGCAAUCCCCACGAGGGCCUGGCCAACGAGGAAGAACCGCACUUCCUG